AAACUGGUUUAGCCUCCUUAGCAGGAGUUUGCAGGGGAGAAAUAGGAAUAGGGAUUGAUAGAUAUUAAACUAGUUUGAAAUUCAGGCUGGUGGUUAAGUGCCAGAUUUAUGUACGUUGGAAGGGGGUGAUUCUGGUGGUUUUGAACAGCAGAAUCAAGCUCUUCACCUGGAAUUGCAGUGUAUAAUACUCUGUUUUGGGUUUUUCCUUCAGGGACCUAACACAAUCGUGAUCUGCAUGGUCAUCUUAUUGAACAUUGGUCUGGCCAUCCUAUUUGUACAUUUUUUGACAUGAUGUGCCCCUCGGACAAGGCGUUGCUGCUGAUGGAGACCACAGACCUCGGCAGGGAUUAAAUCUCAGCCGCCUGGAAACACCUAAGAGGAGGACUUGAGAUCCUAAGGUUGCACUGCAAACAUGAACCUUAAACAAAAGUGCCUGAAGAUCAGUUCAGUCUCCCUGCUCCCAGGCUGUGGCUGGCCUCUGCAAUCUACCAAGGAAAAGCCAGGGUUUCUGCAAUUCAACCUCCUUCUCUUCUUUGUAUAAAAUAGCAGUUGCCUUAAAUUGUUCUCACCAAAGCCAUCAAUUGUCCUGUCAUGCCAGGGAUGAGGGAUUUAUCUGUAGCUGUAGGAAAACGAGUAAGAAAGUCUCAUCUGUUCACACUGAUGUGUUUUGUAACUCCCUUGGUUGACUCAGUGUCAGAGAUUUCCCGAAGAAUGUCAUCCAUGGCAUGGAGAUGAAGCAAUACACAGCAACCAAAAUGACUCAUGAGAGCCGCGCCAUGGCUAGGGGUGGACAACAUCGCCCUCCAUCCUCAGAAAUCAUCCAAAGGGACGAACAAAAAGUCUUUCCUUUCCCCAUUGCCUGGAGUCGUUUUCCGCGUAUGGAGGACUGAGAGGGGGAGCAAGUUGAAAUCGGGCUUGUUGAAGUGUAACCAGAGUCCUGCCCAUGCCUGCUGACGUGCCACGGAUGGGGGCCGUGGGCUGCGGGGUGGGGAGUGAGGGACUGGCUGAUCCGAGGCUGUUCGUGCAUGCGGGGGGUGCUACGGGUGGAGAUGGUCCCGUCUCAGGACCAGGCACCAUCCGAGCGCUCUCCUGCCACCAGCAAUGCUCCAUGCAGAAGUGUCUUGCAGCGGAUGACUUCCCGCUGUAACAGGAAAGGAAAUAGAUGUGCUGAAUUUGUCCCUUUACUCAUUUUUUCUAUGAAAAUGGUGCGAGUUACAAUGAGAAUGAGGUACUUACUGAAAAAUACCUCCAUGCGCCCACAGGUUCCUCCCCUUCGUGCGCUGGGCUGCAGGGGGACUCCUGUGCUCUUUCAUUGCAACAGAGUGAACAGACUUUCCAGCCAGAGGAUGCAGGGUGGCUGUCAUGGGAGAGGUUAUGUUAUUCCCGAAAGGAAAAAGGUGCAGAGACCUGAGUGGCUCCAGUUCUUUGGGUGUUAGGCUCAAAAAUACACAGCAGCCAGACUUUCAGCAGUGGUAGAGUACAGAAGGGCAAUUCUAGCUGUUUUUCUUUUGUGCGAGGCUUAGAGGCCUGGGCGAUUUGCACCGAAUAUUCCCAAAGCUGCAAGAGAGAGUGACCUUUGGAAGGAGAUGUUUCCACCGUGAUCUGCUCUGAUCCUCAGCAGUGCGAGCUUAGAAAGUCAGCACAGAUGAAGUUACAGUUUAGUGUGAGGCUGAGUGCUUGGACAUGUUUCUUCCUUCUUCUAAAAGCAAUAUGUAUUUUCUGUCCCUUUUUAAGAUAAUCGGAAAUGUUAUUUAUAGUCGGUUGUGCACCUCUGUGUAUCCUGAAGUCCCACAGCACAGGACUGGGUGGGAAAACCUGAGGGACUGCAAAGAAUGGGGAAAUGAUGGUUAAGGAAAAAAAACAGAUGCCCAGUCUGCUCCAAAGGUCAAUCUGGAAGGAUUUCAGAGAUGGGGUGGCAGACAGGCAGGGGUCUACACUGACUGGAGACACAGGGCAAAACCUGCCUAAUUUAUCUGCUCUAAUUAUGGCACAAGAGAGUGAGAAUAAUUCAGUACUUUUCUUUGUGAACCAAGUUUAUUUUUUAACCUUAUUCAGCUCAGGAACGUUGCCACAGUAGCAAAUACGUGGUGUUAACUGUGGGAGAAGUGAAUGUGAUCCCUUCCUAAAAGCCAUGUGGCUGUACCAGUCCUGAGAAAGCUGUGCAGCAUCAUCUACACUUCCACAGAGCAUAGUUUAGUAGCAAUUUGCUUCUUUCUUUCUUUCUUUUCUUAAGUAUAAAUGUAUUGCAAACCCCAGGCUCUGCUGCCUUCGACGUUUUAUCUCCGUUUGCUGGCAUUCACUUGCCAGCUCUGCAGUUUCAAUAUGCCAGCUGCUUUUUUUAACCACCAAGACGAUUUCCGUUGAGAGACCUGAGGGGCUUUUAUUUAUCACUAAGCACAAAAAUGGAUCUUUUUCAACAGUGCUAAGGUAAUCCCCCCCCGCCCCCAUUUUUUAUGCAUGUGAUGCGCACUCGGUAAUGUGCUUUCCUCCUAGUAACAGUAACCUUCUGAGAAAAGUAGGUAGAUUUGCUUUUAUGUGACGUAUAAAUAUAUCCAUAUUGCACUGAGAUAUGGAUAUAUAUACACAUAUAUAUAGCCCCUUAGGGAUUUCGUUUUCUUAGAUGCAAAAUAACAGAUUUACCUCAAACUGCAUGCUUUCAAAACUGACUAGGAUAUUGUGUUAUACUUUUCAGGUCUUACAAAGAUGCAGAUACAUUUCACUCUUCACACAAAAAUGCCUUCAUCACAGAUUUUACAAGCUGUUUACUACAAUCUGUGUACUACUGUCCGGAGUUUUCUGUCGGUUGUUCUGCUGGAUUACGUGCAAUAAUAAACAGUUAUCUGCUCACUGUA